rnacentral:rRNA from 1 species
GACGAACGUUGGCGGCGUGCUUAAUACAUGCAAGUCAACUGAAGCAGUGGUAGCAAUAUCGUUGUGGAGGUGGCGCACGGGUGAGUAACACGUAGGUAAUCUGCCUUCAGGUCUGGCAUAACUCCGGGAAACCGGGGCUAAUAGCAGAUGAUGCCGCGGCUUGACAUCGAGACAGUUGUUAAAGCUAUGGCGCCUGAAGAUGAGCCUGCGUCUGAUUGUCUAGUUGGCGGGGUAACGGCCCACCAAGGCAACGAUCAGUAGCUGGUCUGAGAGGAUGAUCAGGAACACUGGAACGGACACACGGCCCAGACUGCUACGGGAGGCAGAAGUAAGGAAAAUGGCUCAAUGGGAGAAAUCCUGAAGCAGCAACGCCGCGUAAGGGACGAAGGGCUUUAGCUUGUAAACCUCUGUAGUAAGAGAAAAAGAUUCCAAUCUUUGGGACAUGACGGUAUCUCAAAAGUAAGCCCCGGCUAACUACGUG